UAGUGGCAGACGGGUGAGUAAUGUAUAGGAAUCUACCUAGUAGUACGGAAUAAUUGUUGGAAACGGCAACUAAUACCGUAUACGCCCUACGGGGGAAAAAUUUAUUGCUAUUAGAUGAGCCUAUAUUAGAUUAGUUAGUUGGUGAGGUAAAGGCUUACCAAGACAAUGAUCUAUAGCUGAUCUGAGAGGAUGAUCAGCCACACUGGAACUGAGAUACGGUCCAGACUCCUACGGGAGGCAGCAGUGGGGAAUAUUGGACAAUGGGCGAAAGCCUGAUCCAGCCAUGCCGCAUGAGUGAAGAAGGCCUUUGGGUUGUAAAGCUCUUUUAGUGAGGAAGAUAAUGACGGUACUCACAGAAGAAGUCCUGGCUAACUCCGUGCCAGCAGCCGCGGUAAUACGGAGAGGGCUAGCGUUAUUCGGAAUUAUUGGGCGUAAAGGGCGCGUAGGCUGAUUAAUAAGUUAAAAGUGAAAUCCCGAGGCUUAACCUCGGAAU
rnacentral:rRNA from 1 species